rnacentral:rRNA from 1 species
GCAUAUCAAUAAGCGGAGGAAAAGAAACCAACAGGGAUUGCCCUAGUAACGGCGAGUGAAGCGGCAACAGCUCAAAUUUGAAAUCUGGCGCAAGCCCGAGUUGUAAUUUGUAGAGGAUGCUUCUGGGCAGCGGCCGGUCUAAGUCCCUUGGAACAGGGCGUCAUAGAGGGUGAGAAUCCCGUAUGCGACCGGCUGGCACCCGUCACGUAGCUCCUUCGACGAGUCGAGUUGUUUGGGAAUGCAGCUCUAAAUGGGAGGUAAAUUCCUUCUAAAGCUAAAUACCGGCCAGUGACCGAUAGCGCACAAGUAGAGUGAUCGAAAGAUGAAAAGCACUUUGGAAAGAGAGUUAAAAAGCACGUGAAAUUGUUGAAAGGGAAGCGCAUGCAACCAGACUUGUCGGCGGUGUUCCGCCGGUCUUCUGACCGGUCUACUCGCCGUCGGCAGGCCAGCAUCAUCUGGGUGCGCCGGAUAAAGGCGUGGGGAAUGUGGCCCCUCGGGGUGUUAUAGCUCCACGCACAAUACGGCGCCGCCCGGGUGAGGUCCGCGCUUCGGCUAGGAUGCUGGCGUAAUGGUUGCCUGCGACCCGUCUUGAAACACGGACCAAGGAGUCUAACAUCUAUGCGAGUGUUCGGGUGUCAAACCCCUACGCGGAAUGAAAGUGAACGGAGGUGGGAAGCUUCGGCUGCACCAUCGACCGAUCCUGAUGUCCUCGGAUGGAUUUGAGUAAGAGCAUAGCUGUUGGGACCCGAAAGAUGGUGAACUAUGCCUGAAUAGGGUGAAGCCAGAGGAAACUCUGGUGGAGGCUCGCAGCGGUUCUGACGUGCAAAUCGAUCGUCAAAUUUGGGUAUAGGGGCGAAAGACUAAUCGAACCAUCUAGUAGCUGGUUCCUGCCGA